GGAGGGCUAGUACGUGUGUACAACAGUGCUGACAGUGUAUUCCUUCAAUUUGAUAUUUGAUAAUGGCUAAUUUCUUCUUCGUACGGCCAACUUACUGCUUCUGUAUUCAUCUAAUUUACCAUCCAUAGAUAGAUAAAGCGAUGCCAAAAAUAUAUCAUAUAUAAGUAUUGUGAACACAUCUGGCAUUUAUGGACGGUAAAGAACGAUUACAAUAAUUGCUUAUCAUAUGCCUUUUUCUUUAUUAAUGGAGAAGUGUGACGUUGUAGUGUUACAUAUUUUUCAAAACACAAACAAUAACAGUAUAAACAGUUCUGAAUACCUAAUACCUGAAUACCUGAAUACCUGAGUACUUAAUCAAUAAGAGUACAACUCAGACAUGGCAACUUGAGGAAUACGUAUCGCUGAAGCACUCUUGCGAGCUGAGAGAACAGUGUCAGUAGGCAAUACGGUGCUCGCUUCAGUAGUGCCUAUUGUCUCUAGCAGGUGACGUCUUAUCAAACUGAAGAACAAGAAGAAAAUUUCGAAACCAAAAAAGGAUUCGCAUGGAAAAGACCAUGAGUGACCAGGACAGUGGUGAUCCCCAACAACAGGGAGUCGUCAUUGUGUAUGAAGAUGGGACUGGUAUUCGUUUAAACAACUCUGAUUUUCAUUGGUUUGGAGAUCACUGCAUUCGGUUGCUUGAAGAAGUACGACAGGAGCGCCUGAUAAAUCAGGAACUUAAGAACCACUUGGCACAGCUGCUCAAAAUGGCACUAGACCCAAAUUUCCAGUCUCCUUUCUUUCAGUAAGCAGUGUUUUAUAUAUUGCAUGCAUUUAAACAUGAGAUUAUUGACGUAAAUGAUAAAUAAGUUUCAAAGUUUAUGGUGGUAGAAGAAAAUACUCGCAUGCAGCCAAGGAUAAAUAAAUAAAUAAAUCAGGUGCCACUAAAAGGGUUCAGAGUCUCACUUAUGGAGAUUAGCCCACCCGGACACAAGUCACCGACCCACAUCGGGGGCUGGGGGAUGAAAAUAAAAAUGCACCAGAAAUAAAUCCAGAAAUGGAAAAAAUAAAUCAGACUAAAAGAGUUAUGUGUUUUGCUGUCAAAGUAAGAGAAACAAUUGAGACCCUGCAAUUGUCUGUAAAUGAGGCAGAAAGUCAGUCAAUUCAGCAACCUGGGACUUGGUAAAAAAAAUAAAUAAAAAAUUAUGUAAUGUGGCAGCAGGGUCUAACAAUAGACAACACAUUUUGCGUUCAAUUAUUUUCCUAGUCAGUAGUACCUCCCUGUUUGAAAGCUGUCUACUACUUACCUAGGAACCUACUGUUCAUACUACAAUAUCACUUGGCUCAAUAUCAAUUUUGUUCUCAUUAUCCACUGUGUAAAUUUAAAGCAUACAAUACAAGAUUACCCAUUGUAACUGGUAGAUAUCAAAAUAUUUCAAGAGAGAAUUUGUGUUAAAUGUGGUUAUAAUGUUAUUGGAGCCGAUUAUCAGUUUAUUCUAGAGUGUAACGAUCAAGAAAUCAAGGGAAGAGAUGCAAGUAUAUCCCAAGAUUUUACAGAAACCAUCAAAUUCGUUUCAAAUUGGGUAAAUUAAUGCAACAGACUAGUAUAAAAACUAUCCAUAAAAUAGCUGUGUUUGUGAAGUUUCUAAAUAGGUUUGGACUUUAGGCAGAUAAUGUAUGUGAUGAAUUAGUCAUAAUUACAAUCAUGUUUUGAUAUGUAAAUGUAUUAAUUGUAAAUUGGUAUUAUGAUAUGUGAUUGUAAAAGUCUGAGCCAAAUAAAUUUGUCUAUAUCAAUAUCCAAGAUACAACCAGA